CCUACGGGGGGCAGCAGUGGGGAAUAUUGGGCAAUGGGCGCAAGCCUGACCCAGCAACGCCGCGUGAAGGAAGAAGGCUUUCGGGUUGUAAACUUCUUUUCUGAUGGACGCAGAAAGUGACGGUACCUCAGUAAGAAGCCACGGCUAACUACGUGCCAGAAGCCGCGGUAAUACGUAGGUGGCAAGCUUGAUCCGGAUUUAUUGGGUGUAAAGGGCGUGUAGGCGGGAACGAAAGUGAGAUGUGAAAACUCAGGGCUCAACCCUGAGCCUGCAUUUGAAACUGUUUUUCUUGAGUGCUGGAGAGGCAAUCGGAAUUCCGUGUGUAGCGGUGAAAUGCGUAGAUAUACGGAGGAACACCAGUGGCGAAGGCGGAUUGCUGGACAGUAACUGACGCUGAGGCGCGAAAGCGUGGGGAGCAAACAGGAUUAGAUACCCGGGUAGUC
rnacentral:rRNA from 1 species